CAGUGAUAAAAAACAAGCAGGUGUAAAUAAUGUUAAAGAACAGUCCAUCCGUCGGUGCGUAUUAUUACUUGUACAUGCUAGUUAAUGUGGAAAUGAAAGUUGUCGUUUGGCAAGAUGUGAUCGUAUGAAAAGAAUCAUAGAGUACGUUAAAAUAUUAACUGUCGUAUAUUUAAUCAAUAUAUUGCACUUUGCUUCCGUCAUGUUAAGUGUUGUACUGAAACCAACUGUUCCGUA